GGAGAAUUACUCAAGAGGCUGAAGAGGACGGUUUGCUAAAUCGUUAGGUCGUGUAACUGGCGCGAGGGUUCGAAUCCCUCAUUCUCCG
rnacentral:tRNA from 1 species